UGCCUAACACAUGCAAGUCGAGCGCGAAAGGAGUGCUUCGGCCUCUGAGUAGAGCGGCGGACGGGUGAGUAACACGUGGGUAACCUGUCCUCGGGUGGGGAAUAACUUCGGGAAACCGGGGCUAAUUCCGCAUGACAUCGCGAAUUCAUAAGUGUUUGCGAUCAAAGCUGGGGAUCCUUCGGGACCUGGCGCCUGAGGAGGGGCCCGCGGCCGAUUAGCUUGUUGGUGAGGUAAUGGCUCACCAAGGCUACGAUCGGUAGCCGGC
rnacentral:rRNA from 1 species